AGCGAACGCUGGCGGCAGGCCUAACACAUGCAAGUCGAACGAACCCUUCGGGGUUAGUGGCGGACGGGUGAGUAACACGUGGGAACGUACCUUUAGGUUCGGAACAACACAGGGAAACUUGUGCUAAUGCCGAAUGUGCCCUUGGGGAAGAUUUAUCGCCUUUAGAGCGGCCCGCGUCUGAUUAGCUUGUUGGUGAGGUAAAGGCUCACCAAGGCUACGAUCAGUAGCUGGUCUGAGAGGAUGAUCAGCCACACUGGGACUGAGACACGGCCCAGACUCCUACGGGAGGCAGCAGUGGGGAAUCUUGCGCAAUGGGCGAAAGCCUGACGCAGCCAUGCCGCGUGAAUGAUGAAGGUCUUAGGAUUGUAAAAUUCUUUUCACCGGGGAAGAUAAUGACGGUACCCGGAGAAGAAGCCCCGGCUAACUUCGUGCCAGCAGCCGCGGUAAAGCGUAU
rnacentral:rRNA from 1 species